rnacentral:rRNA from 1 species
UACGUAGGUGGCGAGCGUUGUCCGGAUUUAUUGGGCGUAAAGGGAACGCAGGCGGUCUUUUAAGUCUGAUGUGAAAGCCUUCGGCUUAACCGGAGUAGUGCAUUGGAAACUGGGAGACUUGAGUGCAGAAGAGGAGAGUGGAACUCCAUGUGUAGCGGUGAAAUGCGUAGAUAUAUGGAAGAACACCAGUGGCGAAAGCGGCUCUCUGGUCUGUAACUGACGCUGAGGUUCGAAAGCGUGGGUAGCAAACAGG